UGAAAAUCCAUGUUGCCUUUCUCUUUGGGU
rnacentral:piRNA from 1 species